GGCAGGUGCGGUAAAUAAGGGCCAGAUGUGAAAGCCUGUACUUACCCUGCUGACUCCCCGCCCUCUGUCCUCGCCGUAGUUUGUUCCCAGGAUUUCAAAGAAGAUGUUGGGAUUGGUGCCGUUGUCGGUGAACUCCAGGAAGCUGAACCUGAUGGUCAACAGUGUAGAAGACUAACCACAGAUCCAAGAGAACGAGAACAAUGCCUCUUCCAGGGUCAGCAGACGUCAUCAUGUCGAUGAACACUUCAAAUGACAGCCAAAUGGACUUUGCUAACCAGCACCCAUCAGGAGCAAGGGUGAAGUGUCUUGCUCAGGACACAACGGACGUGACGAUACAACAAUUCUUCUCAACAAUUAGAAGAUUACUCCCUAUAUGUCUUUAUAUAUAUAUUUUUUUACUAUCUGUUUGUAUUAUUUAAUUUUAUUUUUGAUUUUCAAUAUUAUUAUUAAUGUAUUAUUACUAUUUUAGUUAUUUUUUUAUUGAUUUAUCUGUAAAUUAUAUUAUUACUUUGUUUUGAUUUCUUCCCUUUUAUUUCUUUGGGGG